ensembl:lncRNA novel transcript, antisense to CELF4
GGGAGGCGCUGAGAUUCCGGGCCCGGCGGCCGCGGGGAGCGGGUGUCCGUGAGGAGCCGGGCAGCCGGCCUCCUCUCUUUGCCUUUUGGGGGUUCUUUUUGUAAUAGCAGCAGGUGCAACUUUUUGUAUUUUAAAAAUAGUGAUUUUUAUUUUCGUGUGGGUAUGUAGGGGGGCUUUAUCCACCAAGCUAUGCUCUAUUAGGGCGCCAGGCGGGCGAAGCAAAGGCAGGGAUGGCGGGCGGGGCGGCGGCGGAGGUGGAAUGGGCGCUUUUUUCUUCCAUCUGGCUUUAUUUAUUUAUUUAGACUAGAAAAGCGAGCCGGCUUGGAGGGAGUCCGCCCGGGGAUCCGAGCGCGCAUUCAUCAGUGUCGAGAGAAAAAAAGCUACAUAAAUAUAUAUUAUGUGGAUAAAUCUAUA